GUAAAAUCUAAUAAAAUUUUGCGUUGAUCUGUCCACUUAUCUAUGUAAUGAUGACUCUAUUACUAAUUAUCUAAACUCCUGUCGCUAAACUGUUGUGUCACGUGGUUUUGGCAGUAACUAUGGAAACGUCCACGCAAUGGACUAUCAGCUUCCGUUUUUGACUUUUAUUCACCGCCGUAUAUAGGAGUGAAACAAUGGCCUCAGCUUCUAGUCUUAAGCUUCUUAAACGGAUUAUAAUGACAUUCUAGUUUGUCUGACAUCUGAAAGUGGAGAUGAAGCCUCAUACCUGCGUCGUCAGACCUAAGCUGAUGUUACUGUCAACUGAGGCUCCUCUCUUAAUACAGGACAUUACAGACGCGCGACCCACUCGUGCUUCCAGCGACAUCUCCAGUCCUCCAGUGUCUGCAUGUUCCACGGCCGCUGAAUCCAGCCUCAAUGUUUUCUCAGCGACACAGAAAUGCCCAUGCAGUCCGAGCGAUUCCAGGGAUCUAAAGCCUCACAGUGUCAGCUCUAUUACUAAAGGGACACUGCUUCCAUUUCUAGCCAAAAAUAGCUCAAACGUAACCUCACAAAACAAUGUGUAUGCCAGUGAUAUUUCUGGCCGGCAUUUCUUAUUUGAUAAACGAUGGAAAAAUGGAACUUACAUCACUAUUGGCAUUGAAGAUGAUGUUCUGAUUAACCACAACCCUACAAAUCCACUCUCUCAGGAGUUCCAUGUUUAUCGCUCUCACAAUCUAACCAGAUUUGCCCACCGCAAAGAACUCUGCCCGCGCGACCCAAGACCACUUAUCUGCGGGUCUGAUUAUCUGGCUUCAUUUCCAUCAGUUCUGUUACCAGCCACCACCCCAUCUGUCAGUGGACGACUCUGUUUAUCACAAAACUGUAAAAACAGAUUAAGGAUGAAAAAUAGAGCACGCAAUCUCUUCUCUGAUGGUGCUAACAACAAAACGCAGUCGUACCCUGAUCCACACCUGGGCGCCUCGGCCUCUUUUGUUCAGAGGCUCACAGAGAUUUCCUCUCUGGAAUCAGAAACAAUGCGGCAGGAGAGAAUGAAAAGACUCAAAAAGAUCAAUAGGCAGGACUCUUAAUCGGAGUUCAUUAGCCAAAGAGGAAACACUUGACUCCAGAAAUCACAACUGUGCCAAGAUGGAGUAAAUAAAGUCAAGGAGAAAAACUUGAGAGGUACAGUGUUGUAGCACAACCACUAUAUUGUAACUGAAAUGAAAUGAAAACGAUGACUGUAGCAACC
rnacentral:lncRNA from 1 species